rnacentral:rRNA from 1 species
AUUCCGCGUGAGUGAAGAAGGCUCGGGUUGUAAAGCUCUUCGGCAGGAACGAAACGGUGGUCCCUAAUACGGAUUGCUAAUGACGGUACCUGAAGAAGAAGCACCGGCUAACUACGUGCCAGCAGCCGCGGUAAUACGUAGGGUGCGAGCGUUAAUCGGAAUUACUGGGCGUAAAGCGUGCGCAGGCGGUUAUGUAAGACAGAUGUGAAAUCCCCGGGCUUAACCUGGGAACUGCGUUUGUGACUGCAUAACUCGAGUGUGGCAGAGGGGGGUGGAAUUCCACGUGUAGCAGUGAAAUGCGUAGAGAUGUGGAGGAACACCGAUGGCGAAGGCAGCCCCCUGGGUCAACACUGACGCUCAUGCACGAAAGCGUGGGGAGCAAACAGGAUUAGAUACCCUGGUAGUCCACGCCCUAAACGAUGCGAACUAGGUGUUGGGGAAGGAGACUUUCUUAGUACCGCAGCUAACGCGUGAAGUUCGCCGCCUGGGGAGUACGGUCGCAAGAUUAAAACUCAAAGGAAUUGACGG